rnacentral:rRNA from 1 species
ACUCCUACGGGAGGCAGCAGUAGGGAAUUUUCCGCAAUGGACGAAAGUCUGACGGAGCAAUGCCGCGUGAGUGAUGAAGGUUUUCGAAUCGUAAAGCUCUGUUGUAAGGGAAGAAUAGCAAGGAUAGGAAAUGCUCCUUGUCUGACGGUACCUUACCAGAAAGCCACGGCUAACUACGUGCCAGCAGCCGCGGUAAUACGUAGGUGGCAAGCGUUAUCCGGAAUUAUUGGGCGUAAAGCGCAUGUAGGCGGCCUGUUAAGUCAGAUGUGAAAGCCCGGGGCUUAACCUCGGAAUUGCAUUUGAAACUGGCAGGCUAGAGUCUUGUAGAGGGGGGUGAGAAUUUCAGGUGUAGCGGUGAAAUGCGUAGAGAUCUGAAGGAAUACCAGUGGCGAAGGCGGCCCCCUGGAGCAAAGACUAGACGCUCAGAUGCGAAAGCGUGGGGAGCAAA